CAAGUCGAGGGGCAGCAUGGUCUUAGCUUGCUAAGGCCGAUGGCGACCGGCGCACGGGUGAGUAACACGUAUCCAACCUGCCGUCUACUCUUGGACAGCCUUCUGAAAGGAAGAUUAAUACAAGAUGGCAUCAUGAGUCCGCAUGUUCACAUGAUUAAAGGUAUUCCGGUAGACGAUGGGGAUGCGUUCCAUUAGAUAGUAGGCGGGGUAACGGCCCACCUAGUCUUCGAUGGAUAGGGGUUCUGAGAGGAAGGUCCCCCACAUUGGAACUGAGACACGGUCCAAACUCCUACGGGAGGCAGCAGUGAGGAAUAUUGGUCAAUGGGCGAGAGCCUGAACCAGCCAAGUAGCGUGAAGGAUGACUGCCCUAUGGGUUGUAAACUUCUUUUAUAAAGGAAUAAAGUCGGGUAUGCAUACCCGUUUGCAUGUACUUUAUGGAUAAGGAUCGGCUAACUCCGUGCCAGCAGCCGCGGUAAUACGGAGGAUCCGAGCGUUAUCCGGAUUUAUUGGGUUUAAAGGGAGCGUAGAUGGAUGUUUAAGUCAGUUGUGAAAGUUUGCGGCUCAACCGUAAAAUUGCAGUUGAUACUGGAUAUCUUGAGUGCAGUUGAGGCAGGCGGAAUUCGUGGUGUAGCGGUGAAAUGCUUAGAUAUCACGAAGAACUCCGAUUGCG
rnacentral:rRNA from 1 species